GACGAACGCUGGCGGUGUGCCUCAAACAUGCAAGUCGAGGGAGGGUUGGCGUCUGGCUUGCCAGACGUUCAACUCUACCGGCGAACGGGUGAGUAACACGUGGGCAAUCUGCCCUGAAGACGGGGACAACCUCGGGAAACCGUGGCUAAUACCCGAUACCCUCCUUGGGGGGCAUCCCCUGGGAAGGAAAGGUCCGCAAGGUCCGCUUCAGGAGGAGCCCGCGGCCUAUCAGCUUGUUGGUGGGGUCACGGCCUACCAAGGCUAUGACGGGUAGCUGGUCUGAGAGGACGAUCAGCCACACUGGGACUGAGACACGGCCCAGACUCCUACGGGAGGCAGCAGUUGGGAAUUUUGGGCAAUGGGCGCAAGCCUGACCCAGCGACACCGCGUGGGGAUGAAGGCCUU
rnacentral:rRNA from 1 species